UGGGGAAUAUUGCACAAUGGGCGCAAGCCUGAUGCAGCCAUGCCGCGUGUAUGAAGAAGGCCUUCGGGUUGUAAAGUACUUUCAGUCGGGAGGAAGGUGGUAAGGUUAAUAACUUUAUCAAUUGACGUUACCGACAGAAGAAGCACCGGCUAACUCCGUGCCAGCAGCCGCGGUAAUACGGAGGGUGCAAGCGUUAAUCGGAAUUACUGGGCGUAAAGCGCACGCAGGCGGGUGAUUGAGUCAGAUGUGAAAUCCCCGGGCUUAACCCGGGAGUUGCAUGUGAUACUGGUCAGCUAGAGUCUUGUAGAGGGGGGUAGAAUUCCAUGUGUAGCGGUGAAAUGCGUAGAGAUGUGGAGGAAUACCGGUGGCGAAGGCGGCCCCCUGGACAAAGACUGACGCUCAGGUGCGAAAGCGUGGGGAGCAAACAGG
rnacentral:rRNA from 1 species